ensembl:misc_RNA
UGAGUUGGCUGUUUGGAGACUGAAGUCUUCUGUUUAUCCACAGAACAGAUACAGUACAGGAAUUUGCAGUGCACACUCACCACAAAGUACUUGGCCAGUGUGACUCAACCAGGGCCUGGAGAAAUGACUCCAGGUUUAAGAAGGUAGCUCAGUCUCCUUGGCCUUUUCUUCUGAGCCUGCC